GUGAGGGCGAUCCUGGACCUCAAGAAGCUGAACAAGCAUCUGGCGUACAAGCGCUUCAAGAUGCAGUCCCUCCAGACCAUCCUGGGCUGCGUCAGACCGGGCGAUCUGCUGACAUCGAUUGACCUGAAGGAGGCGUAUCUGCACAUUCCGAUCCACCUGGCGCACCGCCAGUUCCUGAGGUUCCAGUUUGCCCAUCACCAUUACCAAUACAGGGCCCUCCCCUUCGGGCUCUCGUCGGCCCCGCGGACCUUCACCAAGCUGCUGGCAGCUGUAGCCGCACGACUCCGGUCUCUGCCCGUCAGAUUGGAAUGCUACCUGGACGACAUACUUAUCCACUCGUCGUCCAGGGGGCAAGCCCAAGCAGACCUGGCCACCACCAUCAAGGCCCUGCAGCUUCACGGGUUCUCAGUCAACCUCACCAAGAGCCAUGUGAACCCGACCUGCAGGAUCCAGCACCUCGGAACGAUCAUCGACUCUGAAACCUGCCAAGUCUUCCUCACUCAAGAGCGAGUCAACAGCAUCUGGACCCUGGUGAGGAGCAUCCGCUCGACCGGGUCAGCCUCGAUCCUCUCUCUAUCACAACUGAUGGGGAAGCUGGUGUCUUGCAUCGCGGUGGUCCCUUGGGCGCGGCUGCACACGCAAGAACUGCAAUGGUUCCUGCUCCCUCUCCAAAGGAAGAAGACCAGCAACUCCAAACGGGUGGUACGGGUCCCACCGAAGGUCCUCCGCUCCCUCCGGUGGUGGCAGACGGAAGCCCUCCUCAAAGGUACACGCUUCAGGGAGCCAAAGAGGCUGAUAAUCACCACAGAUGCCAGCCUCUUUGGCUGGGGUGCUCAUCUGGGAACAGCGGUGGUGCAGGGCAGGUGGUCGCAGGUGGAGCUCGCCCACAACAUCAACUGGCUGGAGCUCCGGGCCGCAAGACUCGCCCUGCGCCACUUCCUCGACCAGGUCAGAGGCCGCGAUGUACUGAUUCUGACGGACAACAUCGCCACCAAAGCCUACAUCAACCACCAGGGCGGCACGCGGUCUCUGGCGCUGAUGUCGGAAGCAGAGACUCUGGGUCGCUGGGCGGAGAGUCAUCUGGCGUCAUACGAGCAGACCACAUCUCCGGCCUGGACAACGUGACAGCGGACUGGCUCAGCAGAACAACCAUCCAGAACUCGGAAUGGCGUCUGCACCCAAGACUGUUUUACCAGCUGUCUCAGAAGUUCGGCCACCCAGUUGUCGACCUGUUUGCCUCGCCGGCCAACACCCAACUUCCAAGGUACUUCACCCGGUUCCAUUGCCCAGGGGCGGAGGGCACGGACGCUUUAAGAUCCCGCUGGCCCCCGGGUUGGCUAUACGCCUUCCCUCCGCUCCCUCUGAUACCACAUGUCAUUUGGAAGAUUCUGGAGGAAGCUGCGGAGGUGCUCCUAGUCGCUCCUCACUGGCCGAGGAGGACUUGGUUUGCUGACCUGGUCAGUCUGUCGGUGUCCUGGCCGUGGCGCAUACCUCAGGAGCAAAUCUCCCUCAGCCAGGGGGUCGUCCAACAUCCGGAGCUCUAGUGGCUGCAGCUGGCCGUCUGGCACUUGAGGGGGACCUCCUCAAGGCUUCAUUGCUUCUCCGACAGAGUCAUUCAGACGAUCCAGGCCUCCAGAUGACCGUCCACCAUCAGAGUCUACGAGGCUACGUGGACGGCCUUCUCCAGUUGGUGCUACAUCACCUUGUAGCAUCCUCCGCGACCAUUCCGCAAGUCCUGGAAUUUCUUCAGGACGGUUUGGAGAAAGGGCUGGCACCAAACACUCUCCGUAGGCAGGUGGCCGCCCUGAGCACCAUCCUGUUUUCUAACUCUCAGCUACCGAUUUCACGACAUCCUCAGGUAAAGGGGUUCCUGAAGGGGGCAUCCAACCUUUACCCGCCCACCAUUCACAGGUACCCUACCUGGGACUUGACUGUUGUUCUGCAGGCAUUGGCCGCAUCUCCCUUUGAACCGUUGCGGAUGGUGGGCCUACGCCACCUUACGCUAAAGACCGCCUUCCUCAUCGCCAUCACCUCCGCCUGCAGAAUUUUGGAGUUGGCCGCCUUGUCUGUCAGAGGCGACCUUUGCAUUUUCCACUCCGACAGAGUCAUAUUGAGACUGGACCCUGCCUUUGUCCCGAAGAUUAACACCAUCUUCCACAGAGCGCAGGAAGUGGUACUCCCUGACUUUUGCCCUCGUCCCAAGCACCAGAGGGAAGUCACUUGGCACAAAUUGGACGUACGGAGGGCGGUGUGUAUUUACAUCAAGCAAACGGCUCCUUUCCGUAAAUUGGAGGCCUUAUUUGUGUCAUUCCAGCUGGCCUCCAUGGGAAAGAAAGUCACGUCCUCUACCAUCGGACGCUGGCUCAGAGCGUGCAUCAAGUUGUCUUACGAGAUUCAGGCCAGACCGGUUCCCUCGCGCAUAACAGCACACUCUACGAGGAGCGCUGCGACUUCGGCCGUCUGGGCUACGCAAGCGCCAAUUGAAGAAAUCUGCCGUGCUGCGACGUGGUCUGGUCCGUCUCCAUUUAUACGCAACUAUAGACUGGACACUUUCGCCUCCGCUGAAGCAUCCUUUGGGAGGAGAGUUCUACAGAGGGUCGUGGCAAGCACCGCGGCCCUGGACAUUUCUUCUUCCCUCCCGACUUCGACAUAGCUUUGGCAUGUCCUGAGCUUGGACACUCCAAGCAGCGCCUAGGAGAAAGACCAUUGGCUUACCUGAAUGGUUGUUCUCGAGGCCCUGCGGAGUGUCCAAACCCACCCUUAAGGUGGGGCCGUGAGGUGUGUUCUUAGCACCUUCGUGUCUUGGACUUGGACUUGGACUAGUUCAGUCAUGGACUAUUGAUCUCCUUCAUUUUUUAAAACUGAGCCUCUGGAGCAACCAGGAGGCGGAGCUACAACAAAGUUUCAAACUCAGUUCCUUGGACAGCAAGCUGAAGUUAACCCGAGCUUGGACACUCUACAGCGCCUUGAGAACGACCAUUCAGGUUACCUGGACAAUGCCAGUACUUAGGGCUUCCAGUUGCUGAUUACUUCAAACAGUGG